rnacentral:lncRNA from 1 species
GAACCUGAUCCUCGGUAGCGAAGGGCUGGAGGCAAACACCGAGCUCCCCCUGAGCCGCCUGGGAGCAGGGAGGGUUCUGCUACCCUGAGGGGCCCUCCCCGCGGGGCAGAGGAGGAGUGUUCCACUGACUGACCUCUUUUUGUUUUCAAAUGAAGAGGAGCCAAGAAUAGGACAGCUUGGGAAGCUCAUCCUCGUCUACGGCCAAACGUUGGUUUCUCAUUUCUAGAAGAUGAAAGAUGUGAUGACUCAGGAAAAACUUGCUGCUCGAGAUGUGAGUCUUCAGAUGUUCCUGCCGCCAUAUCUGACAGCUGCUGCCAAGAUUCCCUGGUGGGAUGGACUCUUAUACCUCAACAACCAGAAGCCCAAGUAAACUCUUCUAUAAAUUGAAUGACUCAUGCUUAAAAAAAAAAACAAAAAACAAACUAUCUUUA